GGACCCGCACAAGCAGUGGAUCAUGCGGUUUAAUUCGAUACUAAACGAGGAACCUCACCUAGGCUUGACAUCCCGAGAACUCACCGGAAACGGAGAGGUGCCCGCAAGGGAGCUCGGAGACAGGCGCUGCAUGGUUGUCGUCAGCUCGUGCCUUGAGGUGUUCGGUUAAGUCCGUUAACGAGCGCAACCCAUGUCGUUAGUUAUGAUGUCUAACGAGACUGCCUGAGUCAAUCAGGAGGAAGGUAUGGAUGACGUCAAAUCAGCAUGGCCCUUAUGCCUAGGGCUACACGCAUGAUACAAUGGUUGGUACAAUGAGUCGCAAUACCGCGAGGUGGAGCCAAUCUCAAAAGCCAAUCUCAGUCCGGAUUGGAGUCUGCAACUCGACUCCAUGAAGUUGGAAUUGCUAGUAAUCGUGAAUCAGACAUGUCACGGUGAAUAUGUUCCCGGGUCUU
rnacentral:rRNA from 1 species